GAUGAACGCUGGCGGCGUGCCUAAUACAUGCAAGUCGAGCGAACAGACGAGGAGCUUGCUCCUCUGACGUUAGCGGCGGACGGGUGAGUAACACGUGGAUAACCUACCUAUAAGACUGGGAUAACUUCGGGAAACCGGAGCUAAUACCGGAUAAUAUAUUGAACCGCAUGGUUCAAUAGUGAAAGACGGUUUUGCUGUCACUUAUAGAUGGAUCCGCGCCGCAUUAGCUAGUUGGUAAGGUAACGGCUUACCAAGGCGACGAUGCGUAGCCGACCUGAGAGGGUGAUCGGCCACACUGGAACUGAGACACGGUCCAGACUCCUACGGGAGGCAGCAGUAGGGAAUCUUCCGCAAUGGGCGAAAGCCUGACGGAGCAACGCCGCGUGAGUGAUGAAGGUCUUCGGAUCGUAAAACUCUGUUAUUAGGGAAGAACAAAUGUGUAAGUAACUAUGCACGUCUUGACCGUACCUAAUCAGAAAGCCACGGCUAACUACGUG
rnacentral:rRNA from 1 species